GUCGUUUAGAAAUGCCAAUUUGAAGAAAGAUUAGAUUUUUUGGGCGAGAGCAUUAAGUGUAGCAGAAUUCAAUUUGUUAAUGAAAUGUUACUACCCAUUCUUUCACUUUUAUUUGCUAUGCCCAAAGAUAAAUUUGUUGUGCUCGUCGUCACGAUUAAUGAAUUAAUAACACGUAUAUAGUAGGCAUACGACAAAUUAUAAUGAUGUUUCUGUUUUUCUGCCCUUUUGUGAUAGAUAGUUAUAUUUACCGAUUAUGAACCAAAUCCCUAAGAAGGAGAAAGAUGAAACAAAAAAAAAAAAAAAAAAAAAAAGAGAAAUUAAAACAAAAAAAAAAAAAUGUACUGAUUGACGCAACACUAAAUUUUGUGGAGAAAGCUAACUUAAUCGGCUUAAACAAUAAUUUUUGUGGCAAAAACUAAAAUAAAUGGCACAAAUCAUAAAUUUUCAAUGCUUUUCCCCACUAUCCCUCUCUUUACAUUUUCGAAUUCUGUUUGUUGUUCAUCACACAUUCUAUAACCUCAUAAUGCCUCACUAAACACUCGAAUUCUCUCUCCCAUAUAUCAUCUUCAUACCCCCAUAAAACCCUUAUCAAAUCUCUACAAGAUAUUGAAGCCCGCCGAUCUUGAUCGAAAUUCUCACCAAUGAAGCUUUCAUUGCUCCAAUCGUUGGCCCAGCCAUGCUUCUGCCUCCCAAAUCUCGCGAGAACGAGUCAGUGGUGGCAUCAAACAAAUGGUUAAUCGAACUAGUUAGCUUUGCCGAAGCAUCUCUGUUCCUCGUACGAAGUUUUCACCGACCAGAUCUCUCAUUGACCCAAAUUUCUCACCAAUUGUCAAUCUCUCGGUCAUCUUUCUCACGGCUUUACCAGGUGCUUAAGAUGUGAAAUAUCUUUCUUCAUCAUUUCUUCAGCAUAAUCCAUGGAGGUUGGCCGCUGUAGGAGUUCACUGUUUAUAUCAGCCAGGAUCAACUUUUUAAAUCUUGGUAAGGACGAAGCUUACAUCGGUCGGACUGUCGGAGUGUAUUCGUCUUCAUUAUUAUUAUUUUUUUCAUCAUUUGCCAUGGUAUGUUCUUUUAAGUUGAUAAUAGUUAUUGCUUAGCUUGGAUUUUAAAAGUUUUUUUUUGGGGUUGUUGGGGGGGUCGAUGAUAGCGUGGAAGUUAGAUUACACAACAUGUAGAGGAAGUUUUCUCCGAGUUUCAGUAACCAUCAUCUACGCUUUAAUCCUCUGCUAAUGAGACUAUCUAUUUUAUCCCUAUAGUUCAUAUACUAUUAGAGACCUAAUCACAAAUUACAUUCUUUUGGUAAAUCCUUAAGUCUUUCCAUCUUCAUUGUCCUUCAUUUGAAAAAAUAUUGCGUCAAUUUUGGCAUAUUGUUAGUAAUUCACCUUUGCAUUUAGUUCAUGCAUACUGCCAUGAAUUAUUGGAGGCCCAUGAAUACUGCAUGAAGUCUAAGAGAAUUGGAAAAGAUGCUGAACUUACUUUUGGGUAUUAGUAAUUUGUCUGCUUAAAGGUAAAGGUCUUGUUCUCCAUCUUAAUUGAAUUAUUUCCAUUUCUCAUCACCAAGGAAUUGUUGUAUUUUUCUUACUGUUUUCUUCAUAUUUUUCAAAUGCUUAGGAAUCCUUUUGAAGAAAAUGGGAUGAUAGAUGAAAAGUGCUAAUUAUGAAAAGGAACCAAGGUCAUUUUCUUGUUAAUGGAUGUUCAGGGAGGUAAUGCUAACAGGCACCGGGUUGAUUGGGCCAUUUGUGUUUGAUUUUGGGAGCAAGCAAUCUCUCAGGGUGAUCCCUUCAAGGUUGCACCUGUAAAUUGCUUCACCGACACAUUACCUUUUCCAAGUUGUUUGCGAGGGUAUAACUUUUUUAGCAUGCACCCAGGUUGAAAUGCCGCCUUUAAUGGGAAUUGAGGCGAGUUGUUGCAUUCUGUUCUAAAAAUUUCCUUUUCAGAAUGGUGAUUAUUUCCCGACUUGAUUAAUGAGAGCUGCAUUAAUUGAAAAUCUUGCAAUUGUAAGAACUUGAACUUGGUCUCAUCUUGAUGAGAUUGGUGCUUUUUUCUUUGUUGCUUUUUUUUUUUUUUUUUGGUCCCUUAUUCAGAGUUAUUAAUCAAAUAUCAUUGCUGGGCUCAGCACUGGGUUUCAUGUGCAAUUAGGUUCCCCCACCAACCCAUUACCACCAUAUUAACUUAGUAACAUCCUUGGCAAGCUCGAACUGAUAAGUCUGCGAACACAACAGCUAGUUUGUGAAAAAUAAUGACAAAUUUUAGGUCUGUUUCUAAUCUUCAUCUUCCAAAAUUCCAAUUAGUCGGCCAGUACUAGGUAACAACCUUUUUCUCCUUUUCCAUCUUGGUUGUUUCCAGUGGCAUAUGAGGAUUCAUAAUUACACGAGACUUUGAUUUGAUAAGUAGGUCCUGCUUAAUUGCAUGCUACUGGGGCCAUGUUGCAUUUAUUUAGGCUGUAAUUGGUUAAAUAGGACUACUGGUGAACUGAGCCAAAUAAAGUAUCAGAUAAAUAAAGAUAGAACACCAAAUUUCAUACUGUUCAAACUCGGAUCAAGCUCGAGCUCGAGCAGAGCUUGGAUUCCCAAUGUUUCACAUAACAUAAGCUCAACUCAACUUAAAAGUUAAAACUCAUUUACACAAAACAUUAGUUGCAAGGCCGCUCUCAAGCACACUUGGUCUUGAACUUGAAUUCCCC